UAAUAUCAUAUUCCUCCAAACAGGUUUUUGAUGAUGUGCCAUGAUGUUUGCUCUAUAAAAUCUGUAUUAAUUAACUUGUUACUCUGAAGAGAGUUUAAGACAAACAAUGAAGUUUUCAGGAGCAGUGGUCCUUUUUCUGCUUUUUGUAUCCUUGGAAUUUUUCUCGUCGCCUGUGAUAGCAGGUUAUUGGUGGAGGGCAAAUACAUGCAAAUACAAGUUGGUGGAAAAAGAUGGAAAAGGGGGUAAAAAGAAAUAUGUGGCUAUAGGCAAUUGUCAAAGAAAGAGAGACGAUGCUCAUGGGAACCAAAUUACUGAAAGAGAAAAAGUCCUAAAUUCAAAAAUAUUUUUCUGAUGGUGAAAUGUUUAUAAAUACGAUUUAUUUGAAAACGUUUAAAGAUGAAUCAUCAAUAAAUCUUUCUUCAAUAAUUAA